rnacentral:rRNA from 1 species
CUAAGGCUCCAGAGGAAGCCACGGCUAACUCUGUGCCAGCAGCCGCGGUAAUACAGAGGCGGCAAGCGUUGUUCGGAAUUAUUGGGCGUAAAGAGCACGUAGGCGGCCUUGCAAGUCAGUUGUGGAAGCCUUCCGCUUAACGGAAGAAUGCCAGCUGAUACUACAGGGCUUGAGUACGGGAGGGGAGAGUGGAACUUCUGGUGGAGCGGUGAAAUGCGUAGAUAUCAGAAGGAACGCCGGCGGCGAAAGCGACUCUCUGGCCCGAAACUGACGCUGAGUGUGCGAAAGCUAGGGGAGCAAACGGGACUAGAUACCCCGGUAGUCCUAGCCGUAAA